rnacentral:lncRNA from 1 species
CGUCCCCAAGCCCGGGGUAGGUCCCAUCCAGCUGCGCUGUCUCACACAGCCUGUGGGGAAGCACAGCUGUCAGGGCUGGAUUUUCAGGAUUAGUUUGGUUGAAGAUGCCGAAACCCAGCUCCCGUGGCUGAUACCAAAGGGGGCAUUCCCAGUGGGAAGCAGCAGGGCCUCCAGGAAGCAGGAGGCAGAAUCAGAGACCCCCAGGGCUGGGCUCCUCGCCUCUGCAUCGGUUCCUACCACAGGCUGAAAACAAAUUGUUGCAAGUCACAUCCUCAGCCGCCACAGAGGGAUCGACUUUCUCACUGCGGCAUCAGUGACAAGUCAGAUGUCCGUCACUGUGCCCAAAGGCACAGGGGCCCUGCCUGGUCCUGCUCUGGUGAGGUGCCCAUCCUUAUGCACCAAGAAAUUGUGGUCAGGGGAGGCAGCAGGACGAGAUGAGGAAACUGAGGCUCCCAGAGCAGAAGGAACUUGCUGGAGGUCACACAAUGAGUAAGCAGCAGAACUGGGACCCAAGCCCAGAUCCAUCAGGCUCCAGAGAGUCUGUGCUCUAACAACCAGGAGGCCCUGCCCAUUCUGCAGUCUGAAACCCCACAGAGGUAAGAGGGUGGUUCCAGGAGACAGGGACAAACCUGAGAGCCCCCUGGCUCAGGACGCCAGGGAAGAUGGCGCUCUGCCCUCGGGUCCCAUCGCCCCACUCAGAGGGCCCAGCUGAGUGAGCACGCUCACGCUUCGCGGCCCAAGCCAUUGCCAGUAAAUUACUCCCAGUAACGGGGUGUUUGCCCAGGGAAUUAAAGAGGCAGUAAACAGUUGCCAGAGUAAUUAGACACGAAUGGCGGACGUGCCAGGCUUCUCAACGCCGGGAAGCAACUUCCAUAGUAGCCUCCCUCUGCAGGGCGAGAUGAGACCACUGGGUUGCGAUUGUCAAGUUAAGCAGCUGAGAGCCAGAGAAUCAAAGAGACGGCAAGACAUUGCUGGGGGGAGACAGGGUAACCUUGGAAACUACUGCAUAUAAUCCCCUCCGUAUACAGACGGAGAAACUGAGGCCCAGGGAGGGAGAACAGACCUGCCCAGGGACACCCAGCAGAUUAGAGGGAGAGGUAGGUCUGGAGCCUCGGUCUCAUGGGAAGCAGGUCAAGCCAGUUCCUGGCACACUUGGUUACGCACCGUUCAAGGUCAUCUUGGGGAGAAGGGUCACAGCUCUGGCAGUUAAUGGGGGCACAGGUAACAGCGAUGAUGAGUGAAACUUUGGGCACACAUUCAUUCAUUCGUUUAAUGAGUAUUUAUUAAGUUCCUACUAUAUUCUGGGUUCUGUUCUAGGCUCUGGGGAACAAGGCAAGCAAAAGUCCCUGUCCUCAGAGAGCUGACACUCCAGAAACACAGAACCCAAAGGCAAGUCGGGAACUCAGGAGGCUCACAGGGGCCUAGGCAAAGGGAGGUGCAGAGACAGCAAGGAGGUGGAGUUCAGGGGAAAAUGCAUACAUGAGCACCCUCUCCCGCUUCCACAUGGCCUGGGAAAGGGAUCGAGAUUCCAGAGGAGCCAUCUGGCCCUGUCUGGCUCAGAACCUGCCUCUGGGCCUUCCCAGAUCAGGCUAGUGGACACACAGCAGCUGUGAGAAGUGCAGGCACAGAGCUGGGCCUGGCAGCCACCCACACCUGCAGUUCCAGCCACAAGAGCAGGGCCACAGAGAGCCACAACCCACAGAUGGAGCAUAGUGAACCACUGCAGAUGGGCCUGAGGCAGGGCAGCAGCCCCUAAUGGGGGAACAGGAAGAUUUGCAGACAGGUAGUGGACCCCUGGAAUCUCAUGGACCUGCAUUCAAUCCCAGCCCUGCCGCUCACUUGCUGUGCUACACUAGGCAAGUUACUGAUCUCACUGAGCCUCGGGUUUCUCAUCUGCAAAGAGGUUAGAAAUGAAAGUCUUUAAGCGCUGACCGUCCAUAAUCAGAGCUUUGAGCAGCAGACAGUUCGCAAGAUUAAAGCUGGGAGGCACAGCAGGUACUGUGUGUUGCACAUCAACCAGGCCAGACAGUGUGAGGAGCACUUCCUGUAAAUCCUGUCAUUCAACUGUCUGAAAACCCCUUGAGCCUGGACCAUCCUCUCUGCCUGCAGUACCCCAGACCCUCUUUCCCUUCUGUCCCCAGUAAAUCCCAUCUCUCUGCUUAGAAUAAGCAAUUGGCCAUGGAUCAGGAGGCCCAGAUCUAUGCCAGCCUCUGCCACUUUCUCAUUGUGUGACCCAAAGCCACAUGUCUCAGUUUCCCCAUCUGUGUAUUGAGUGCUCAUCUUGGAGAUCUGACAUUUCUUUUCUGCAAGUGGGCUUGAAUUGUCAAUUCAACACACCUCCUGUGUGACUUUGGAGGAGUCACUUAAAGUCUCUGGGCUGGGCUAACCUGCUCACCCAGAAGCCCUGCAAUUGGAAACGGGGCACCUUCCCCUGCCCACCUUGAUUCCCAUUCAGUGUCAGAGCUUGAACAGAAACUCCAGCUCCACUCCCAAGCCCCUCAAGAUGCCAGGGACACUCAGGCUGCCUCCCUAGCCAAUCCCUCAGGGCGAGAGACAGGGAAACACCUGCACUCCAGAACUGAUAGUCUAAAAACAGCAGCCAGGGCCCACCUGUGGAGGAUGAAGAGGAAUGCACCCAGGGCCUGAACUGCCCAGAACUUCAGACCCUGGAUACAAGCCCCAGGGAUGGGGAAGCUAAGCAGCCAGUCCCCCAGCUCGGAGAAGGUGGGGGGAACAGAGCCCAGGAGAAUGGGAGUAGGGAGGCUUAGGGACAACCUUUGAAAAAUUUAAAAACUGAUACAAACUUUAUUUUAUUAUUUUUAUCUCCAUCAUAAAAACAAUGCCCAGGCACCCGCAGACAGAGCUGGUGGGAGUAUAAAUUGGUACAAUAUUUUGGAAAACAAUCGAGUAAUAGUGAUUCAAGUUAAAAUAUAUAUAUCUUUUGACCCAGCAAGCCCAUAUCUAGGAAUUUACCUUACAGAAAUAUACACUAAAUGCCAGGAAAUGUACAUACAAGAAUGUUCCUAGGAGCACUGUUUGUAAAAACAGGGAGAAACUGCAAACCAAUAGGGGACUUGCUGGUGAAACAUGGGGCAUCCACACAAAGGAAAGAAAUGCAGUUGGUUUUUUUAAUGAGGCAGAUCUAUACAUGCUGUCAGAGAGACAUUUCCAAGACCAAUUAGAAGGGAAAAAAAGAAAAUUGAGUAACUGUGCAUAAAAUGUGAUCACAUUCUUAUAAAAAGAAAAGACUCCAGGGGCCUGAAAACCAAACUGCCAACUCUUGAAUGGUGGGUGUCGGGAGGUCAGAGGAGAUGGGCGAUGUUUAUUUUCUACACCGGGCAUUUCUGAAAUGUUUGAAAGCUUCUAUUAGUCAGAAAAACAGUAACAAUAACAGUAUUCAUUUUCAAAUUAAAUUAGCACACUCUGGUAACAAAAAAAAGUGUUUUGUAUUGUUUUGUUUUUUAAUGUGAAUUCUCAACACCCAAAGGUGUAUUUUUAACAUUUGGUUGCAUUUCUUUCAGUAUUUUAAAAUCAGUUUUUCAGGCAUAGUUAUUAUUGAUCUGUAUGUAUAAUUUAACACCCUAGGGUUUUUAAAAAAAAAAAAAAACUCGUAUUAUAGCAUUAAGCAUUUCCCAGCUAGCAUGAAUGUAAACAAUGUUUUCAUUGCCUGUGGAGUAUUCUGG